AGCGAACGCUGGCGGCAGGCCUAACACAUGCAAGUCGAACGGACCUUCCGUGGUUGGUUGCGGUUGGGGGUGUAACACGUGGGAAGGUGCCGGUAGGUACCGGAUACUUCAGUUUAGCGUGGGCUAAUACAGGAUGUGCUCCUCGAGGGAAAGAUUUAUCGCCUUUAGAGGGGCACGGGACCGUUUAGCUAGUUGGGUUUGGAUAUGGCGCUCCAAGGCUACGUACAGUAGCUGGUCUGGGAGGAUGAUCAGCCACAUUGGGACUGAGACACGGCCCAAACUCCUACGGGAGGCAGCAGUGGGGGAUCUUGCGCAAUGGGCGAAAGCCUGACGCAGCCAUGCCGCGUGAAUGAUGAAGGUCUUAGGAAUGUAAAAUUCUUUCACCGGGGGCGAUAAUGACGGUACCCGGAGAAGAAGCCCCGGCUAACUUCGUG
rnacentral:rRNA from 1 species